rnacentral:rRNA from 1 species
AUUGAACGCUGGCGGCAGGCCUAACACAUGCAAGUCGCGCGGAGCGGCGGCCGGGUGCGUACUGCCUAGGUAUCUGCCUGGUCGUGGGGGAUAACGUCCGGAACCGGGCGCUACUACCGAAUCCUCUCCCAUGAGCCUAGCCCGGAUUAGCUAGUUGGUGUGGUAAAGGCGUACCCAGGCGACGAUCCGUACCUGGUCUGAGAGGAUGAUCAGUCACACUGGAACUGAGACACGGCCCAGACUCCUACGGGAGGCAGAAGUGGGGAAUAUUGGACAAUGGGCGAAAGCCUGAUGCAGCCAGGCCGCGUGUAUGAAGAAGGUCUUCGGGUUGUAAAGCACUUUAAGUUGGGAGGCGUUACCAACAGAAGAAGCACCGGCUAACUUCGUGCCAGCAGCCGCGGUAAUAC